GAUGAACGCUAGCGGCAGGCCUAAUACAUGCAAGUCGAACGGUGUCUUCGGACAUAGUGGCGCACGGGUGCGUAACACGUAUGCAACCUACCUUACAUUGGGGGAUAGCCUUUCGAAAGGGAGAUUAAUACCGCAUAAGACAGUAGCUGGGCAUCCAGCAGCUGUUAAAGAUUUAUCGAUGUAAGCUGGGCAUGCGUCCAAUUAGCUAGUUGGUGAGGUAACGGCUCACCAAGGCUAUGAUUGGUAGGGGAACUGAGAGGUCCAUCCCCACACUGACACUGAGAUACGGGCCAGACUCCUACGGGAGGCAGCAGUAGGGAAUAUUGGGCAAUGGACGCAAGUCUGACCCAGCCAUGCCGCGUGCAGGAUGAAGGCGUUAUGCGUUGUAAACUGCUUUUAUACAGGGAGAAACGACUCUUGCGAGAGGCAUUGACGGUACUGUAUGAAUAAGCACCGGCUAACUCCGUGCCAGCCGCCGCGGUAAAAC
rnacentral:rRNA from 1 species